CUGGUCUGCUUCAUUCUGUUACCUGUUUCAAAGACGGGGUUGAAAACUUUGCUUUCUUCAAGCCGAUUGCGGCGACCCUUGCCGAGUUUGCGGGCUCACGGCCAGACGCGAAUCCGCGCGCGCGAGGCACCGUCGGUCCUUCCUUCCGGUUCUGCUCCGCGUCAAAACGUUCGACUUGUGGUGUGAUGUCGUCUCUUUUACCCUAGUUUCACCGCCAAGUAGUUCACAGAUAUAAAAAAACACGCGUAUGAUAUACUUUGUUGUCGGCACUGAUUGAAACUGCCUGACGGAUUUCUGCAGAGAAUCACCCUUGAGGGGCGCUAAAAGAUAACAGGCAUUCGCACUGCCACAAAGGGAUGUGCUAAAACAAAAAGCAGCAGGAGUGUUUGUUUCUUGACUCGAGACUGACAGAGUGAUUGACUCCAGUGUUGACUUGUUCGGAUUGCGUAAUGUUGCCAUUCGAUGUUUUGAAUAACUACACACAAACGUGGAGAGGAAAAUCAACAAGAGCGACGGCAGGCGAAGUGGAUUUUCUGCUCCAGAUGAUUCCGGCUAAAUGCCCUAUUUAUCAACUUUCACGAGAGCCUCAUUCCUACGUCUGCAUACUUGUUUGAAGUAACAAGCCAACCGCCGCUGCGGCGCACAGAGUUUAAAUUUGCAGCACGGCUUACCAUUUUCUGGUUGAACUAACACUCCAAAUGGACUCUGGCUGCCAAAAUUUCUGCUCGCUCACCAAGCCAAAAUCACACAUGCAAAACGCAAACUGCUCGAAACGCGGCUGGUGAAACUGAAAACAAAUCACACGGCCCAUGUGCCGAUACGUUUACAGUCCGGAAGGAGUACAAAUUGAAUAUUUCCGUUCGAUUCGGUGUUAGAGCGUUUUAUUUUUCAUCCACGGUUGGCACAUUCCUCCCAGCGGAAAUUAUGAAUAAAAGAGUAUCAUGCGCGCACGUUCUUUAUUUGCAGCGCAGGGCCUUGUUUCCAUUGUCGGUCGGGUGCUUCAUUAAAAUUAAUUAAAUGUUUACAUUAAUUAGGUGUGCUCACGGCAAGUUUUUACGACCCACUUGCGCCGUGCAAACCGAUUCUAAUUAAUAAAUUACCCUAAAAAAUUUAAUACCGGAUAAAGCACUCGACUUGAGUUAUAGGGACGUGAAAAGUUUUCAUUUUGCGACAUUUGGUAAUUUA